rnacentral:misc_RNA from 1 species
AAGUCGUAACAAGGUUUCCGUAGGUGAACCUGCGGAAGGAUCAUUGACAAAAUCUUUAUAUAAAUCUUUGUGAAUUGAAAGCGGUAUGCUUUCCGUAAUAUUUAUUAUUAUUAACGUAUAUUUUAGAGUCUUAUUGAAAAAUUAGUUAAUGUAAAAACAACUUUUAACAAUGGAUCUCUUGGCUCUU